rnacentral:rRNA from 1 species
GACAGAGGAUGCAAGCGUUAUCCGGAAUGAUUGGGCGUAAAGCGUCUGUAGGUGGCUUUUCAAGUCCGCCGUCAAAUCCCAGGGCUCAACCCUGGACAGGCGGUGGAAACUACCAAGCUGGAGUACGGUAGGGGCAGAGGGAAUUUCCGGUGGAGCGGUGAAAUGCGUAGAGAUCGGGAGGAACACCAGUGGCGAAGGCGGCCUUCUGGACCAAUACUGACGCUCAUGCACGAAAGCGUGGGGAGCAAACAGG